rnacentral:rRNA from 1 species
GACGAACGCUGGCGGCGUGCCUAAUACAUGCAAGUCGAGCGGUGCUGCGGGCGGGUGGGUGAUUCCCAGGAAUCUGCCUGGUCGUUGGGGAUAACGUCCGGUAACGGGCCCUAAUACCGCAUACUAUCAGAUGAGCCUAGGUGGGAUUAGCUAGUUGGUGGGGUAAAGGCCUACCAAGGCGACGAUCCGUAACUGGUCUGAGAGGAUGAUCAGUCACACUGGAACUGAGACACGGUCCAGACUCCUACGGGAGGCAGCAGUGGGGAAUAUUGGACAAUGGGCGAAAGCCUGAGCCAGCCAUGCCGCGUGUGUGAAGAAGGUCUUCGGAUUGUAAAGCACUUUAAGUUGGGAGGCGUUACCAACAGAAUAAGCACCGGCUAACUUCGUGCCAGCCGCCGCGGUAAUUC